AACGGCGAGUGAAGCGGCAAAAGCUCAAAUUUGAAAUCUGGCUCCUUAGGGGUCCGUGUUGUAAUUUGUAGAGGAUGCUUCGGGUGCGGCCACGGCCUAAGUUCCUUGGAACAGGACGUCAUAGAGGGUGAGAAUCCCGUCUUGGGUCGUUGGUCCACGCCCGUGUGAAGCUCCUUCGACGAGUCGAGUUGUUUGGGAAUGCAGCUCUAAGCGGGUGGUAAAUUUCAUCUAAAGCUAAAUAUUGGCCGGAGACCGAUAGCGCACAAGUAGAGUGAUCGAAAGGUUAAAAGCACCUUGAAAAGGGAGUUAAACAGCACGUGAAAUUGUUGAAAGGGAAGCGCUUGCGGCCAGACUCGGGCGCGGGGUUCAGCGGGUGCGUGUCACCCGUGUACUCCCCGCCGCCCGGGCCAGCAUCAGUUCUGACGGCCGGUCAAAGGCCCCCGGAAUGUGUCGUCUCUCGGGACGUCUUAUAGCCGGGGGUGCAAUGCGGCCCGUCGGGACUGAGGAACGCGCUUCGGCUCGGAUGCUGGCGUAAUGGCCGUAAGCGGCCCGUCUUGAAACACGGACCAAGGAGUCUAACAUCCACGCGAGUGUUCGGGUGUCAAACCCGUGCGCGCAGUGAAAGCGAACGGAGGUGGGAGCCUUAGGGCGCACCAUCGACCGAUCCUGAAGUCUUCGGAUGGAUUUGAGUAGGAGCGUGGCCGUUGGGACCCGAAAGAUGGUGAACUAUGCCUGAAUAGGGUGAAGCCAGAGGAAACUCUGGUGGAGGCUCGCAGCGGUUCUGACGUGCAAAUCGAUCGUCAAAUUU
rnacentral:rRNA from 1 species